CAUCCCUGUGAUGAGUCUUUUCAAUUAAAGUAGUGGCCUGAUCUCUUGUGAUGAAUUGAUAACUCUGAGGGAUG